UUUAAUUAUAUUUUUAAAAAACCAAAUUAUAUGACAUAGCAGCCUCUUUGAAGCCAUUCUUCUUCAUGUUCACUCUUGAAAUGAAAAAAAAAAAAAACAGUUCUAUGUUUAGUUUAAAAAUAUCCAGUAGUCUCUGAAUACAAGUGAGUAGAAAGAGACCACAUUUAGACACCUCCAGGCCAGCAUCAUCUCACAUUCAUGCAAUACACCUGAGACAUCUGUGUAUUUAAUUUCCGUUUUUAAAAUGUACUUUCUGUCCAUGCAAUACACUAAAAUUUACUGCAGUUGUACCCAUAUCUCUGGCUCCAAGACAUCUGAAAGAGGUUCUGAUGAUGCUAAAGCUUUUACUGUUGCAUUACGUGAAUUUACCUUGACAGAAAAGUAAUUCCAUGAAACAAGACAGUUGGGGAAUGGCCCAAAAUAUUUUGAAUUCUACUGUGUCACUAAUGUUCUGGUACAACCAAAUAACUUGACUUCACAAGAUUUUUCUCUGUGAGCUCCCCCUCAAGGAGAUAACACAGCCAAGUCUAUGAGCGACAAUUCAGUUACAGGAAACCUCUGAUUUAAUGUACCUUGCCCUACUCACUCCUCUAUGCCCAUGCCAGGCACAUAUUGUUUUACCACCUGAAUCCCCUGACUUUGACCAGGUCCGAGAGCCUCAGACCAAGCCACCACAUUUCUAGCAACUGCCUGGAAUUGGCAUCAGGUUAGAUUCAGAGCUGGAAAUAGUCACUGACAGAUUUCAUCUCGAACCUGGGGGGAAAGAGUGAGAAAAGAAUAGAAUGGAGUGAGAAGAAAAGAAGACAUACUCUGCAGUCCCAAUGGUAUGAGAGGUAAUGGGAUAAAAAAAAAAAAAAGCGCCACCUCGGAGACAGCCAGGAAGGGACAUUGUGGAAGGGGCAGCUUUCCAUGAGAACAAGGUGAAAAGAGCGUUCAGCAUAGCUUUGGAAAUCACUUUUGAAAAACAAUAUAGUUUUUUGUUUGCUUUCUUUUACAAUUCAAUGGAUUUUAGUAUAUUCACAGAACUAUGCAACCAGUUACCCAACAAGAAACCCUCUACUCAUCAGUAGCCCUUUCUUCUGCCAGACCCUAGCUCCAUGCAACAAGUUAAUGGAAGAUUAUGCAGUUAUUAACUUUUUUGGUGAAUAGUAUAGAAUUAUGGGGAACUGCUUGAGAAAGCAUAAAGAAAAAAUCCAGAAUACAAAAUUCUUCACAAUAUUCCAUGCAAUAACUCCAUGCAAUAAUUAUUGCAACCAUAUAGCACAUGAAUAGAUACUGUCAAAGUGAAGUGAAAUAUAAAAAAUAUAUAUAUACUUUUUGCAUGGUGGAGUUAUUAUCUCUGAAAAUAAAAUGCCUAUGCUUUUUACCUUCUCAACCCUGACCUAUAUGUAUGAUAUAGGACAUAUACCCAGAACA